rnacentral:rRNA from 1 species
UACGAAGGGGGCUAGCGUUGUUCGGAAUCACUGGGCGUAAAGCGCUCGUAGGCGGAUCUUUAAGUCAGGGGUGAAAUCCCGAGGCUCAACCUCGGAACUGCCUUUGAUACUGGGGAUCUCGAGUCCGGGAGAGGUGAGUGGAGCUGCGAGUGUAGAGGUGAAAUUCGUAGAUAUUCGCAAGAACACCAGUGGCGAAGGCGGCUCACUGGCCCGGUACUGACGCUGAGGAGCGAAAGCGUGGGGAGCAAACAGG